rnacentral:lncRNA from 1 species
GUGGAACAUUUGACCCCUCAUACAUUGCUGUUGGGAACAGAAUGGUGCAGCAGCUUUGAAAAUCAGUCUAGCAGUUCCUCAAAAGGCUAAACAGUCAUCACAUAACCUAGCAAUUCCACUUGUAGAUAUUUAUCCAAGAGAAAUGAAAACAUAUGCCCACAAAGACCUGUACACAAAUGUUCACAGCAGCAUUAUUCACAAUAGCCAAAAAGUGGAGACAAUCCAAAUGUCCAUCAACUGCUGAAUGGAUAACCAAAUGUGGUGUAUCCGGUUAUUUAGCAAUGAAAAUGAAGUACUGAUUCAUGCUAUAACACAAGAGAAGCCCGUCCUAAGGGACCACGUUACAUGAUUCCAUUUAUAUGACAUGUCCAGAAAGAGUAAAUUUAGAGACAGAGAGUAGAUUAAUGGUUGCUCAGGGCUUGGGUAGGGUGGGCCAGAAUCAGGAGUGACUGCUAAAGGUACAAGAUUUCUUCUAGGAGGAACAAAAUAUUCCAAAAUUGGAUUGUGAUGAUGGAUGAAAAACCCUGUGACUCUAUCAAAAAUUAAAUCAUACAAUAUAGAUGGGCGAGAUGAUGGCAUGUGAACGACAUCUCAACAAAGCUGUUUAAAAACAUAAGACAAAUCCAGCAUGUAUUUUUUUUAACAAAUUUUAUGGAUUCCUAAUAGUUGUACAUAUUUAUGGGCUACACAUGACAUUUUGAUACAAGCAUACAAUGUGUAAUGAUCAAAUCAGAGUAACAGAAAUAUCUACCACCUCAAAUAUUUAUCACUUCCUGUGUUGGGAACAUUCCAAAUUUUCUCUUCCAGCUAUUUUGAAAUAUAUAAUUAAUUUUUGUUAACUACAGUUGCUCUACUGUGCUACCGAACACCACAUCUUAUUCCUUCUAACUGUAUUUUCAUCCCCAACAAUUAACUCCUCUCCAUCCCCGUCUCCCCACUACCCUUUCCAGCCUCUGGUAACCACUCUUCUUUUCAUUACCUUCAUGAGAUCAAAUAUUUUAGCUUCCACAUAUGAUUAAGAACAGGCAGGCUGGCAUGGUGGCUCAUGCCUGUGAUCCCAGCACUUUGGGAGGCCGAGGCGGGCAGAUCACUUGAGGUCAGGAGUUCAAGACCAGCCUGGCCAACAUGGUGAAGGCCCGUCUCUACUAAAAAUACAAAGUUAGCCGGUCGUGGUGGUGCAUGCCUACAAUCCCAGCUACUUGGGAAGCUUUAGGCAGGAGAAUCACUUGAACCCUAGAAGCAGAGGUUGCAGUGAACCGAGAUCGUGCCAUUGUACUCCAGCCUGGGAGACAGAGCGAGACUCCAUCUCCAAGAAAAAAAAAAAAAUACAGAACAGGCAAUAUUUGUUUUUCUGUGCCUGGCUUAUUUCACUUAAUGUUCUCCAUAUUGAUCCACAUUACUGCAACUAGCAGGAUUUCAUUCUUCUUUUUUGUUUUUUUAUUUUUAUUUUUUUGGAGACGAGUCUCGCUCUGUUGUCCAGGCUGGAGUGCAGUGGCGUGAUCUUGGCUCACUGCAAGCUCCACCUCCCGGGUUCACACCAUUCUCCUGCUUCAGCCUCUCGAGUAGCUGGGAAUACAGGCACCUGCCACCACGCCCGGCUAAUUUUUUGUGUUUUUAGUAGAGACAGGGUUUCACCGUGUUAGCCAGGAUGGUCUCGAUCUCCUGACCUCAUGAUCCGCCCAUCUCAGCCUCCCAAAGUGCUGGGAUUACAGGCAUGAGCCACCGCACCCAGCCUAGGAUUUUAUUCUUUAUUAUGGCUUUAUAAUAUUCCAUUGUGUAUAUAAAACCACAUUUUCCUUAUCCAUGUGUCCACUGAUGGGCACUUAGGUGGAUUCCUUAUCUUGGCUAUUAACAGUGCUGUAACAAACAUGGGAGUACAAAUAUCUCUUCAAUAUGCUCAUGUUCUUCCUUGGAGAAAUGUGUGUCCAAAUCCUUUGUCCAUUUAAAAUACCUGGCAAUGAGAUUGCUAGAUCAUAAGGUAGUUCCAUAUUCUUAGUUUUCUGAAGAGCCUCCAUACUGCUCUCCAUAGUACUAACUUACAUUCCCACCACUAGUGUUUGAGAGGUCCCCUUUCGCCAUAUCCUCACCAUUUAUUUUCAGUCUUUUUGAUAAUAGCCAUUUUAACUGAGAUGAGGUGAUAUCUCAUGGUUUUGAUUUGCAUUUCCCUAAUGAUUAGCGGUGUUGAGUAUUUUUUCAUAUACCUGUUGGCCAUUUACAUGGUUUUUUUUUUUUGAGAAAUGUCUAUUCAAAUAAUUUGCCCAUUUUUAAAUCAGAUUAUUUGGUUUUUGGCUACUGAGUUGUUUGAGCUCUUUAUAUAUUCUGGUUAUUAAUCCCAUGUCAGAUGAAUAGCCUACAAAUAUUUUCUCUCAUUCUGUGGGUUGUCUUUUCACUUUGUUGAUUGUUUUCUUUGCUGUGCAGAAACUUUUUAGCUUGAUGUAAUCGUAUUUGUCAAUUUUUGCUUUGGUUGCCUGUGCUUUUGAGGCUUUACUCAAGAAAUCUUUGCCCAAAACAAUGUCCUGAAGCAUUUCCCCAAAGUUUUAUUUUAGCAUAAUACUUUCAUAGUUCCAGGUCUUACAUUUAAGUCUUUGAUUUUGAGUUGAUUUUUGUACAUGGCGAGAGACAGAAGUCUACUUUCAUUCUUCUUCAUAUGGAUGUACAGUUUUCCCAGCACCAUUUAUUGAAGAGACAAUGUCCUUUGCCCAAUGGAUGUUCUCAGCCCCUUUGUCAAAAAUCAACUGGCUGUAAAUGUGUGGCCCAGCAUGCUUCUGUGUUAAUCUGUAAAACACAUUCUUAAAAGAUUUUAGCUGACCAAAAGCGACACAAGAAGAAGAAAAUAUGAUGAAAUUGGAACAAAAUAAAUGCACACAAUGGCAUGGUUUUUAUGGUUUGGGGCAGUAGGGCUGGUGGGGGAAGGAGAUGGCCCCACACUUAGCUCCAGGCUCCUGAGGGCCAAGGCAGAACGGGGAACGCUGUUAGUCACAACAUCAUGGUGUCCAUCGGAUGAAAAAAACUUGCGAGAAAAGAUAGUGUUUCUUGAAAAGAAAACAGUCUUUCUGAUACUGGAAUGUGCUGAAAACUUCUUUUUGGGUCUUCCCAAAAAGAACACAGCUCCAACUGGUGUGGAAGAGUGGGGGUUUCAGGGAGGACCUCACCAGAGGGGAAACUGAAACUGACGAAUGUAAUCUAACAUUUAACUCUGGAGAGUGUUGUUGAAGGCUUCCGCAGAGUUGGUGGAGAGCAGAGUUGGUGGAGACCGUGGAACUCAAGCAAACAUCUGAAAUAAACUAAGCUAAUGAAACCACGAGGCCAUUUUGAACUCAAGGAAAAUAAAAAAAGUUGUCCAAUAAAAGCGCAAUUUUAGUGUUCUACACUGGCUCAACAGUCAGCAAAACGUAGUCAAAAUAAUGAUGAUACUAAAUGUGGAUUUAACCAGAUAUUUUAAAUACAUUUUACUUUCGUGUAAUCGGUACUGAUAUAAACAUAUAUACUGAGAGGAUAGAGGAAGAGAGAUUAAAUAAUGUCUAGCACUGUUAAAUCAAGAGCUAGAAGGUAUGUGUAUUAUUUUAAAAUGUGGAGGCAAAUAGUAGAAGAACCAGCUAAAUAAGAGUUGAAAGUAGUUCUUCUGAGAAGCAGACCACAACGGUGGGGCAUGGGGAAGACUGUGUUAAGCUGUGACAUUAUUAAACUUUCCAUUUAUAUACAUAUAUUACUUUAUUUAAAAAUGAAAUAAACUUGUUAAAUACAGGAAAAGUCACCUAUGGUCAAUGUUCCCUGUGAUCACUAUUUCUUUAAAGGGGCACAGGUGAGACCACGCUAGGAGAAGAAAACUCUUUCAUCAGGAGGGGCAUCCCACUGAGUCACUGAAGCCCCCAGUGCUGUGAGGUCCAAGAACGUGCUGCUCUCCCCUGGGAGGCCUGUCUUGAUGUCAAGAUCCCACCAGCCCCAGACAAAGCAGCACACAACUGACCCAUGGCAGGAGGGAGGCACUCAGAGGCGCAGCCAGGAGGGAAGAAGCCUGCUCUCCCCAUCCUCUUUCUGGCCCAGUAUGCAUGGCUGAAUUCACCUUAGGAUAAACACAGGUAUGACUACACUCCAGUAUGACUAGAAAAAUAACACAGGCGUGACUGCAGUUGGAAUCACAGCUUGCGGGCCACACUGGUUACACAUCCACCGGGACUCAAGAGGGAUCCACUGAGCUGAACACUGCCUGCUCGUGCUCUGUGCCUAAGGCUCCCUGUCUGGCAAGCCCCAUGGAAGCUCACAGAUCUGUCAUUUGUGGAGAGCUGCAGCUCUUGUGUUUAAAAAGGAAUGAUUUGGCUGGGUGCAGUGACUCACACCAGCACUCUGGGAGGCUGAGGUAGGCGGAUCCCUUGAGCCCAGGAGUUUGAGACCAGCCCGGGCCACACAGCAAGACCCCAACUCUACAAAAAAAAAUACAAAAAUUAGCAUGGUGGCACAUGCCUGUAAUACCAGCUAUUCAGGAAGCUGAGGUGGGAGGACCACCUGAGCCUGAGAGGUCAAGGUUGCGAUGAGCCGUGAUUGCACCACUGCACUCCAGUCUGGGUGACAGAAUGAGACCCUGUCUCAAUUAAAAAAAAUAAAAUAAAGAAAAGAAAAAGUGAAAAAACGGAAGGAUUUACUAAGCCCAGCUGUUCAAUCAGCUCACAGAUACUCACUAAGCACUCCACAGCUCUGGCCUGUGCUAGAAGACAAGGACUCAGUCAUGAGGAGGGCACAGGUGGUGCCAUCUCCUGAGUUACAAGACAGUCGAGGGAGAUGUAGACAGGAUCUGACCCAUGAAUGAAGAUAUAAUUCCCAGGUAGCUCACUAAGUUGAGAAUAGUUGUACAAAGAGAACACUUAAGGGAAAGGCGGAAUUAUAUGCUCUAUGGACCGUGAGGUGGUAGGAUGCAAGAAGUUUUGGCAAAACUGAAAUGAGCCUAAAUCAAUACGCCAUGAUGAACUGAAUCUCCCAACAGAAAAAGGGACAUUAAUGGAAAAACUGGAGAGAUCCAAAUAAAGCAAUUUUAAUUAAUAGCAAUAUACCAAUGUUGGUUUCCUUUUUAGGCAAAUGCAGCAUGGCAAUGUAAGUUAUUAAAUUAGUGGAAACUGGGUUAUACAGCAACUCUGUAUUUGCUCUGCAAAUGUGCUUUGCAAAUUUUCUAUAAAUCUAAACUUAUUC